GCCAUAGGGAGGUCAAGAGAGUCAAGGAUAGAAACAAAUGUGUCCAUUAGAUUAGCAACCAAGAAGGACUUAGAGCGCUCAGCGCAAGGAAUUUCUGUGAAGUGGGAGAGACAGACUGCAGAUGUUGGGAUUGUGCAAAAAGAAUAUAUUUGUCUGGAGUUUAUACUUAAAAAUAACUGUUGUUAAGCCAAAGAAUGUGGGGGUACUUCUUCUACACAGAUCUUCCUUCUGAAGAUGUUGGUCUUCUUCCUUGCCUGCCACCCCCUCCCACACUUGAUUCAAAUGGAAGGUUGACUUUCUUGGAUGGCAAGGAUUAUGUUCACUCUCCCCUUCUGGAACUGUUCUCUGUGGAUAUGUCCCGUGAUCGUCAGAUCAACAUUCUGAGCUUGUGCUUAGAAACCAUCUUUGGAGGGUGUCAAUGCAUCUUACAUAAUCACGAGUUG